rnacentral:rRNA from 1 species
GAGGAAUAUUGGGCAAUGCCCGCAAGGGUGACCAGCAACGCCGCGUGGAGGAUGAAUGUCGUAAGAUUGUAAACUCCUGUUAGAGGGGAAGAAUAGUACCGGUUGGACCGGUAUAUGACUGUACCCUCAGAGAAAGCCCCGGCUAACUACGUGCCAGCAGCCGCGGUAAUACGUAGGGGGCAAGCGUUGUCCGGAUUUACUGGGUGUAAAGGGCGCGCAGGCGGGAUAAAAAGUCAGUGGUGAAAUCCUACAGCUUAACUGUAGAACUGCCUUUGAUACUUUUAUUCUUGAGUUCGGGAGAGAGAGACGGAAUUCCAGGUGUAGUGGUGAAAUACGUAGAUAUCUGGAAGAACACCAGUUGCGAAGGCGGUCUCUUGGUCCGACACUGACGCUGAGGCGCGAAAGCGUGGGGAGCAAACA